rnacentral:lncRNA from 1 species
UAGCUGUUGCCCUUGGUAUCACCCUGUCUGACAUCAGUGUUUCUUUGUGGGUCAAGACGUGGUCUGGAUCUCCCCGAAUCCUGUGUGGUUUAGGUGAGGGCAGGAGACUGAGCUGAAGAUGGCCUUACCUAAAAACAUGGUGGUCGAGGGAAAGCACGUCAGAAAGCGUCCAAAUCUUCCAGGAUGUUCUCAGCCCGACACUAGUGUUCUAUCACCUGCUGAAGAACGAUACUGUUAUCGCAGCCAAGUUUGGUGACUCUUAUUCUCAUGCAGUAAAGCUCUGGGCCGGGGGUUCUUGGCUGGUGCACUGGCAGAAACUGGGCUUGCCCCCUUCUAAAUAAUGCAGGCAGAUUGUCUGGCCUUUGAUGUGAUGUGAACCGAAGAAUGAAUACAAUUCAAACUAAACAAAUAAGGCUCCAGGAAGUUGAGACUAUGUGGAUUGCUUUUGGCUGAGUCACUUGGAGGUGACAGUGAUUCUGGAGGAUAACCAACAAUUUAAAAACGUGCCCUCAGAUGCUGUAAGCCUGGGGAUUUUCUUUCUGAGGUGUGCAGACUCCUUCUGGAAUCAUCUUCCUGGUUUGGGUGGUGCUUGGUAUGAAACAAUGGAAUUUCUAUGUUCGGCUGUGAUAAGGAGAGAGGUGCCAGCAUGCAUUAGGGCUGGAAAGUUACCUUCUUAAAUUGAAGAAGUGCUUAGA